rnacentral:rRNA from 1 species
UAGGGAAUUUUCCACAAUGGGCGAAAGCCUGAUGGAGCAACGCCGCGUGUGUGAUGAAGGGUUUCGGCUCGUAAAACACUGUUGUAAGAGAAGAAUGACAUUGAGAGUAACUGUUCAAUGUGUGACGGUAUCUUACCAGAAAGGAACGGCUAAAUACGCGCCAG